AUUGAACGCUGGCGGCAUGCCUUACACAUGCAAGUCGAACGGCAGCGGGGGAGAAGCUUGCUUUUCCUGCCGGCGAGUGGCGAACGGGUGAGUAAUACAUCGGAACGUGCCCUGUAGUGGGGGAUAACUAGUCGAAAGAUUAGCUAAUACCGCAUACGACCUGAGGGUGAAAGUGGGGGACCGUAGGGCCUCAUGCUAUAGGAGCGGCCGAUGUCUGAUUAGCUAGUUGGUGGGGUAAAGGCCUACCAAGGCGACGAUCAGUAGCUGGUCUGAGAGGACGAUCAGCCACACUGGGACUGAGACACGGCCCAGACUCCUACGGGAGGCAGCAGUGGGGAAUUUUGGACAAUGGGCGAAAGCCUGAUCCAGCAAUGCCGCGCGUGUGAAGAAGGCCUUCGGGUUGUAAAGCACUUUUGUCCGGAAAGAAAUGGCUCUGGUUAAUACCUGGGGUCGAUGACGGUACCGGAAGAAUAAGGACCGGCUAACUACGUGCCAGCCGCCGCCGUAA
rnacentral:rRNA from 1 species